ensembl:snRNA U4 U4 spliceosomal RNA
AGUUUUGCUCAGUGGCAGUAUCGUAGCCAAUGAGGUUUAUCUGAGGCACGAUUAUUACUCAUUGAAAAAAACCUACACAAGAAUGUAUAGUAGCUUUAUCCAUAAUCAUAAAAAAUUGGAAGCAACCAAGAUG